rnacentral:rRNA from 1 species
UACGUAGGGUGCGAGCGUUAAUCGGAAUUACUGGGCGUAAAGCGUGCGCAGGCGGUUCGUUGUGUCGGUGGUGAAAUCCCCGGGCUUAACCUGGGAAUGGCCAUGGAAACUGGCGAACUGGAGUGCGGCAGAGGGGGGUGGAAUUCCGCGUGUAGCAGUGAAAUGCGUAGAGAUCGGGCGGAACACCAGCGGCGAAGGCGGCAUCCUGGUCCUGUUCUGACGCUGAGGCGCGAGAGCGUGGGGAGCAAACUGG